GAUUCCGCUUGCAAAGCGUCUCAAAGGCAGAAGUACAACCGGUGCAGCGCGUGGGGUCGUGUGCAGAGACGGGAGGCAAAAGCUGCGCUGCAUCCCCUGACCCAGAGGGCCGGAACUGCACGGGGCAUCGGGCUCCCCGGCGGGCUCCAGGGCGGCUGCCCCCGGGACGCGCCAGCCGCAAGCGCCAUCCGCCAGAGCAGCGGCGCCUCCCGCUGAAGCGCGGCAUGCUUAGCCCGGCAAAGCUCUCCCUGGCUGCGCGCGGGGCUGCUACUCUCGCUCCGCGAUCCGGGGCCCGCCGCCUUCGCCCGGCUUGGCUCGCCCCCAGGCCGCUCUCGGGCGCGCCUUCCCCUCGGGGCAAGGGACAAUCCUGCCUCGGCCUGCCGGGCUUCCUUUCUCCCCAGCACUCGAGGGAGACUCUCCUGCCCCGCCGCAGGGGGGCUCAGGCUGGAGAGGAAGGGGGGCCUGAGGCCCAGGACCCAGAGCGCAUCGCCGCUGCGGAAAUGGAGCCAAGGCGGGGUGGAAUCCGCAGGGACGGCCGGGCCAAGAGAGGGGCUACCUGGGGCGGCGGGGGGGGGGAUGCAUCACUGCAAAAGACGAGGAGGAAGACCCCUCCCGACACCCCCGAGACACCAAAGGGGGGACCCUCCCCCUUAGAGGCAGCCCCUGGGGCACUCCCCCCCCCAUCCUCCGCCAGCCAAGCAGCGCCCAGAGCGCCUGCCCUCGAGGGACACAGGCCCACAGCUGCCCAGGUUCGGGGGGGGGGAGGCGCCUCAGCCAAUUCCAGAAGGCGAGAGGGCACCGAGACUGACCGCUUCCCUCUCGGAGGAGGGCUGCUAUCUCCGGAGACCCCGGCAAAGACGCGCCGCCGCCCCCCCCCCCAUUCACGGCAGCGCUGAUGGAAACGGGAAGCGGAGCAGGAUGGCCAAGGGGACGGGGGGGGGCUCCUGAUGCGGGGCCAGCAUGAGAUUGUCGGGGGCACGUCAAGAGGGCAGAGGCCUCCCCCCUGCAAGGAGACUCUUCUGGUGCCCUCCCUUCAGAUUUCAAGGAAAUGAUCUGACUCUUCUUAGAAGACAUCUGAAGGCAGCCCUGCUCAGGGAAGUUUUAAAGGUUUGAGGUCUUACUAUGUUUUUAUAUCUACUGUAGGCCGCCCAGAGUGGCUAGGGAAACAGCUAGAAAGCGGGGUAUAAAUCAUAAAAUUAUUAGUAUUCUUCUUAAUUAUUAUUACUACUGCAGCACCCUACUCUCCAUCUACUGGCAGGCAAUAUUGCCCCAUGGGAUCCUUGUUCCAUGAAGCUGCUCCCCGCCAGGACUCUGGUCCAAAAAGUGGGGUCACCUGUGUCAGAGAUUUAAUGCAGACAAUUUCUCAUAGAUGCUUCACUGCCUGCUUUGCCUCUGUAUUGCUGUGCAAACUAUUAAACUCUGCUUGCAAGAGGCCGUGAGGAGAGAGUCAAGCUUCACGGAUUGGAAUGCAAGUCACACAACCGUUAGCCCCAAUCAGGGUCCCCAUCUAGGUGGCGCCAAGGGCCUCCCAUUCUCUCCCCCCCCCCCAUUUUCAAUAUUUUGCGGCCUGUGGCUGGCCCCGUCAAGCCUUCCCACAGCUGCGCCAGGCCUUGCGGCAUCUUCUCACUGUGUGACAUCACACACAUGGGCCUGCACACCCACCCAAAAGUUGGGCGGAACCUGGUACCUGUGGUCCCAUUGUUACUGUGUAAAUGCAUGUGGGUAGCAGGGAUCACUGUAAAGUAGGGUUGUCAGAUGUCCCCGGGGACUGUCCCCGGAUUUGCAGAUCUGUCCCCGGGAAACGGGUAGCGCCAGCCUCAGCCCUGGCUGGUGAGCCGACUGCGCUACCAGGCUGGCUCCGGGCUGCUGACUGCCGCUGCUGCCGCCACUGCCGAAGGGGAACCAGGGAUGUCCACUGGUACAGAUCUCCUUCCCCCUUCCCCCUUUGUUUUGACUGAUUGGGGGAGGCUUGGGAGUUGCUGGCAGGCGGCCGUUGCCCAGUUUUUAAUAAACUCUGCUCAUUUAUGUUGCACAGGGUGUGAAAGCUUUGCACCUUUAUACAAUAUGCAUGUGUGCUUGGGCCCAGGAUCUUUUGCCUCACCAUCCCCACUACAGACUCCCUGUUGCUACUCAACUUAAAAAAAAGAAAAAAAAGUGUCCCUGGAUUCAUUGAAGAAAAUCUGGUAACCAUACUGUAAAGCAUUCAAUAUCUACCUAACUCCCUAUCAAAAAGUCAUGGCCCCAGUCAUAUGGUAGCUUAAUUUCAGAGCUAAAAGUAUUUUUGAGAGAUUUUGAGCAUUUUUCGAUUUAAAAAAAAAUGAAUUUUAAACAAGUUUUACUGUUGCAAUUUCUGCUUUGGCCAAUAGAUGGCAGUGUUGUGAUGUGACGCAGCCAAGCUAUUGUAAAAGGAUCAAGCUUCUCGUUUUUUCUCUAUGCUUUAAAUUCAAUGCAGGUACCUUGGUUCUCAAACAACUUUGCACUCAAACAAUUUGAAACCCAAACACUGCAAACCCAUAAGUAAGUGCUCCAGUUUGCGAAUGUGCUGAAUGUGCUCCGUUUUGAGUGUUACGCUUCCAAUUUGAGUGCCACACUUCUGUUUUGAGUGUUAUGCUGAGGUCUGUCUGAUUUUGCUAUUUUGCGUUUUUGUUUUUGCGGUGCUUUUUUGUUUGUUUUUGUGACUGUGUGGAACCUAGUUCAGCUACUGAUUGCUGGAUUGUGUGACUGCAGUACAUUGUUUAUUGUUUUCAUUUUAUGGACCAAUGGUCUCGUUAGAUAGUAAAAAUUCAUGUUAAAUUGGGUUAAUUCAUUUUUUUUUUAUAAUAAUAUUUAUUGAUAAUUUCAAAAUUACAAGAAAAAUAAAAAAUGACAAACAACGCUACAAUACAAAAAAGGAAAAAGAAGAAGAACACAAUAAAAAAAGGAGAAAAGCGCAAAAUGAGAAAACCAAUAUAACAAUACAGC
rnacentral:lncRNA from 1 species